UUCUCUUUCUCUCUCAUCCUUUUUAACUCUCUUUCUUUCUCUCAUUUUUCUCCUUCUCUAUCUUUCUUGAUCCAUUUUCUUUUUGUUGUUCUUCUUCUUCCUUCUCUACCUCUUUCGCUCUCUUUUGUUAUUUUGGUAUCACACCGAAACAAGAAUGGUGUUCCAAUCGGUUGACGGUGAUGCAUCUCUUGGAUUGAGAUUUUAGGGUUUCAAACCGCGAAUCGGUUUACAUGCUUUCAUUGAUGUUUGAUUAGAACGAGCAGAUUCAGAUCAACUAUGGAAAGAAAAUUCUUCUGUAGAUAAUAUAUCUGAUUCAGAUCAUCUGUGGCUUUGGUGUUUUGCUUGAAUCAAUUGUUUUACUGAUUUUAUGAUUCUUUUGUUUUUUCAGUUUAAAGAUUUCGCAAAUGAUCCCAAACUGGCUCUGGCUCUAGCUCUGGCUCUGUAUCUAUCAUAGUCUACGGGGAUUACGACAAACCAACCUUAUUAAUUAUACAGAUUUAGCGAUAAACUAACACAGCGCCGAGACUGAUGACGGGGAUGCAUGGAUGGCAAGCCGUGGUCUUUAGGAUAUCAUGCCACAAAGCUUACUUCUCUGGCUGUGGAUUCUAUGGUGCACGGGCUACACUUUGAGUUGAAUCCGGUUUUAUUGAGUUAUGCAGGUUCGGUUUAGUAAGCAGGUCGGUUCAGUUUGUGUUGUUGCCAUCUCUUGCUGCUUUUGUUAUCGGUAACAAUAAUCCCAUAAUGCAUAAAUCAUGCCCGCCUAUGGUGUUAGGCUAUUUUAAUUUCCUCUCAACUUGUGCAUUUUAAUAUGCAUUACAUUUUAGCAUGAAAGUGUCAUGCCAUGUCUAGAUUUUCUACUCACUUUCUAUGAUGCCAAGAGUACAUUUGAGGAAAGAGAGGACAUAAGGCAGCGUCGAAGGACGAAAUAUGUUGAAUGGAAGGAAGAAUGUUGUCAAUUAUUUCCGCUUGUGGGAAGUGGUAGAUUUGUCACAGCACCUGUAGUUACUAACGAUGGUCAACCGAUUUAAGAUCUAAUUGUAUCGAGCGUAUGCUACGCAAAUUAGGGAUAACAACAUCGGAUGAUGAGAUUGUUCAAACCGAUGCCUUCAACAAAUACUCCAACCUGAUACCGCACGAAUCACAGAGCCAUCUCUGACGACAAAAGAUAAGUUUAUCACAUAUCUAUUUUUCAGAUUAGUCAUAAUUGGCUUGGGUAACAAAGACACAAUACCAGGGGAGAAAUUGAUUGUGACAGGUUGGGUUCAGAAGUUGAAGGUACAUAUUACCAUUAAUUGCAAAUAUAUACUAUUAUUGAUAAAUGCUUAUGAUCUCUUUGAAUUUGAAUUUUGCUCUUUGCAUAACAUUUUUUGUACAUUUGUUUCUCAUGUAUCUCUAUAUGCAAUGUUGAUACUGAUAUCCAGUCUGGCGUGAUUGCGACAGAAAGAAUUUGACAUCCUGAUUUGCAUUUUAUAACCGGUAAUUAACAGUGGACGUAAAAUUUUAUAUAAAAAUUUUAUUCAUUUUACCAUGGCUUUGUCUCUUAUGAAUGACCCCCCGCUGUUUUGUUUCCACCACUGUUGUGCUGCUUAACUGACGUUGUUGUUCUGUGCCAAAUGUUGUUCUUGUGUGGCACCGUUCCCGUGCGACGUUGUUCCUGUGUUCAUGCAAGAGAAACUUUUCGUGUGUGAUCUAUUGGGAUGCAGACUGGAAGAGAACUUGAGCUAUCAAUUGAUGAAUGAUGUCCUUUACUGUACUUGAUAAUUCGGGCUCUCGACGAAGGUCCCUGCAUGGAUGUUGUAAUCUUUCCUCUACAUGGUUCUUUGCCACCUGAAUUGCA